rnacentral:lncRNA from 1 species
CAACUUUGGCAUCAUAGUUUGCAGUCAUUGGAUCUUCAACUAAUUCUUGUAACGCACUCUUAAAACUGCUGACUAACUCAUUGUAAUCAAUGGUUGCACACUGUUUGAGGGCUUUAGAAGAAGGAUAUUUCUUCAUCAAAUUUUUCAGGUAAUUUUGGGUUUUUGUGGAUUUUUCUAUUGCCAUUUUUAAGUAUAACCUACAAAGGGUGAGAUAGUCUUUGGCCGAAGUAAUUUCAGGGUUGGAUUCUAGAAGUUUCGAACAUCGUUGUUUUUCAUUAGCAUCUUUGCAUACAUUUUCGUACAGUUUGGGGCUAGAUGUUUGUGAAGUUGCAACAGAAAUAAAAAUCAAUAAAACAGUGAGGAGCAAGGACAAAGGUGUUGAAAGAUUCAUUCUUUUCUUUGGAAUGGACUCUGAAAGUUACUUUAGGAUUCUUAAUUUAUAGAAAUCAUCCU